CCCCCCAAAGUUUUCAUUCCAGUGCCAGAUUUAAGUCAUCCCCAAAAUUUUGGUCCCAGCGCCAAAUUAAAGUGAUCCCCAAAAUUUUCAUCCCAGCUCCAAAUUAAAGUCAUCCCCAAAAUCCCUUACCCCCACCGCACUCUCAAAUCCCACCUCGUCUUCGCCUCAUCCGACCCCGUCGAAAUAUGUCCGAUACCGCCAGCCAACGCACCUCAUCUUCGCCUCAUCUACGUUCGCCCAGGGCUCCCUCAUCUUCGCCGUGGGCCAUCGUACCCCCUCCGCCUCCCUCAUCUUCGCCGGCGCUCCUAUGCCUCCACCUCCUCCUCCUCCUCCGCCUCCUCCUCCUCCUCUGCCUCCCCUUUUAUAGCCCCAGCCCCAGACCUUUACCCAGCUCGUUUCCAUCGGUUGUAUUCCAAAGCAAGAAUGAGAAAGUUCAGAGCAAUGAACAAGCUUAAGAAAGUAGCCUUGAAGGUGAUUGCAGAGAAUCUUUCAGAAGAAGAAAUUAUUGGUUUAAAAGAGAUAUUCAAAUUUCCCAUUGUGUUUACCAAAAGUUUACCAACAUA